rnacentral:rRNA from 1 species
UACGAAGGGGGCUAGCGUUGCUCGGAAUCACUGGGCGUAAAGCGCACGUAGGCGGCUUCUUAAGUCAGGGGUGAAAUCCUGGAGCUCAACUCCAGAACUGCCCUUGAUACUGAGGAGCUCGAGUCCGGAAGAGGUGAGUGGAACUCCGAGUGUAGAGGUGAAAUUCGUAGAUAUUCGGAAGAACACCAGCGGCGAAGGCGGCUCACUGGUCCGGUACUGACGCUGAGGUGCGAAAGCGUGGGGAGCAAACAGG